GGGGUUGUGGCUCAGAGGUAGAGUGCUCGCCUACCAGGCGUGACGCACCGGGUUUGAUCCUCAACACCA
rnacentral:tRNA from 1 species